AUGCCCUUAAAAAUUAGAAAACUCGCAAAUCGCCUUUUCCUGUGUACUUUAAAGAUUGAAGCAGACAGGUUAAAACCCAGAGAAGAGAUUGCAGAACUCCUCUUUGGAUUUCGACCGGUGUCACAGCU
ensembl:snoRNA